UACAGAGGGUGCUAGCGUUAAUCGGAUUUACUGGGCGUAAAGGGCGCGUAGGUGGUAAAGCAAGUAAGAUGUGAAAGCCCUGGGCUUAACCUAGGAAGUGCAUCUUAAACUGCUUAACUCGAGUAUGGUAGAGGGUAGUGGAAUUUCCGGUGUAGCGGUGAAAUGCGUAGAGAUCGGAAGGAACGCCAGUGGUGAAGACGACUACCUGGACCAAUACUGACACUGAGGUGCGAAAGCGUGGGGAUCAAACAGG
rnacentral:rRNA from 1 species